AUCCCCCUCCUUCAGGAUUCCUACUUUUCUCCUCAAUCUGUUACCCAUCAGCAGCACUUUUUCUCCCCGCACCAGUUAACAUUUCUGAAUUCCCCUUGUUUUCAGCAGUGAAUGAGAAAUCUUUAAAGCAACAAAUCAAAGCACACAGACUGUUGAAAAUAAAUCACAGAUGAUAUCUGAUGAUGAGAACAACACGUCUUGUCCCUGACAUUUGUUAAUUUUGAAUUUUUUUUUCAUUUCUGCUGUUUUUGCUGCCCAUGAACUCACACUAAGAAGAGCUGACUGCCCAAACCAGAACCAAAAUAUAUUUACUCCUUAAAGGACAAGAUGAAGGAAUGCUGGAGCAUCUCGCUGUCCACCCCUCACCCCUCUGCUUUUCCUCCAUUCAACCAAAACAACGCCUCCGUUCUUCCAGCCACACUAUGCAGAUUGUUUUAGAGGACAAGCGAGAAAGAGAAACAGACAGAGGCUGCAGAGGACAAUGAAACAGCUGGAUAUUCUAAAGCAGUUCAUUUUGCUAUUCUGUAUUUCUUAUCUUAUAGAGACGAGCAACUGUAAGCAUGAGCAGAAGUAAAUUGUGUGUUUCUCUUGAUGUGUUUGGUUCUACGCUCUUUUAACUAAGGCAUAAUAAGAUUCUCCUUUGCACAGCUCCGUUUAUGGUUUGGUGUAUGACAAGACAGAUAAUAAUACACAAACCAAACAAAAUAUUGUGCAGAAAUUCAUUGUUGCUGAUAGGGUAAUUAGUUGUGUGGUCCAGUGCCACAAGAAGACAACCAUCAUUGGGAAAAAAAAAAUCCAGAAGAAAUCGAACUUUGCCACAAGCCAUGUAAACCUGGGUAACACAUGGACAUGCUUUUCUUCAGCAGGGACAAAGAAGCUGAUCAGAGUUGAAAAGAAUAUUUGCGAGUCUGGUGAAACAUAUCUUCAAAAGGUUGUAGCUGUGACUGCAGCAAAAUGCUUUUUUUACUAAAUAAAAUACAUUGAACUUUG